GACGAACGCUGGCGGCGUGCCUAAUACAUGCAAGUCGAACGAACGGAGGAAGAGCUUGCUCUUCCAAAGUUAGUGGCGGACGGGUGAGUAACACGUGGGCAACCUGCCUGUAAGUUGGGGAUAACUCCGGGAAACCGGGGCUAAUACCGAAUGAUAGAGUGUGGCGCAUGCCACGCUYUUGAAAGAUGGUUUCGGCUAUCGCUUACAGAUGGGCCCGCGGUGCAUUAGCUAGUUGGUAGGGUAAUGGCCUACCAAGGCAACGAUGCAUAGCCGACCUGAGAGGGUGAUCGGCCACACUGGGACUGAGACACGGCCCAGACUCCUACGGGAGGCAGCAGUAGGGAAUCUUCCGCAAUGGACGAAAGUCUGACGGAGCAACGCCGCGUGUAUGAAGAAGGUUUUCGGAUCGUAAAGUACUGUUGUUAGAGAAGAACAAGGAUAAGAGUAACUGCUUGUCCCUUGACGGUAUCUAACCAGAAAGCCACGGCUAACUACGU
rnacentral:rRNA from 1 species